GCCAUCGCCAUUUUAUUUCAGUCUCAAUUUGCUCAAGGAAGAAACCAAACGUGCCUAGGAAGAAUCGAGUGAUUAGAAUCGAUUCAUAUCGAUUGUUAGAUUCAGUUUAAGUAAUUUAUUCGAAGUUUCUACAGAAAGAAGUAUUUUUCUGUAAGAUUUAUGAAUAGUUGUGAAUUCUUCAAUAAUUUGGACCCUGGUGGACCAAUGAUGACAAGGAAACGGUUUAAGGAGCUGUCGCUGGAAGCGACAGUCUACCAAGAGGCGACGAACCUGAUGCCUCCUCUCGACCCCCCUCAGCCCCCUCCGAUGCCAACUGAAUCAGUUUCCGCCUCCGAGCCAUCAAAUAAUUUUAUAAGAAGCCAAUGUCUAAGUGUUGUGUUUCCUGCGCGUUUGCGCACGGAAAGGCGCGGUAAACGUAACACGUAUGUAUUUGCUGGGAAAGUUGCACGUCAAAGGGCGACCAGGAAAAGACUAUCAAAGAAAGACCUCUGAAUUGACUAAGAAGUUAGUUUUUAAGUACUUAAGGUAACUAUGGGCCACACACUGCAGCCUAAACAGUCGACGGUCGAUUCGAUGAAUGGCAAUUGUUUUUUGAGAAAAUCGUGAUUCCAAUCAAAGUUUUCUGUCGGUCUGAUGCCGAAUAUAGGUAUAUUUGAUCGCUGUAAUGUGCACACUGCCAUGCAUUUCCGUAGUUAGGGUGCUUACAUAAAGCGCUCGAUCAAACUAUCGGCGGACUAGUCUGCAGUGUUGUACUGUUGAUGUAGGUAGGUAACUAGGUAGGAACUUCCUUUCUUUGGUGAAUGUAAAAUAAAAAUUUAAAAAAAUAAUAAAA